UUGUUUGAUGUAAGCGGCUCUUCAACUUCCGGUCCUCAGGGGACUAGAUGAAAUUGAACAAAGCUCUACAAUUUGCAAAGAAGAAUAAGUUAGCUGUUAUCUUUCCCACAUUAACAGCUGGCUUUAUCCUUCACGAUUUGAAUCGUACAAGGAUUUUUAAAGCUAAAGUGGCAGAAAGAGAUAGGAGAUUACAGGAACAGAAGAAAAAGUAGCAUCAUGCCUGGUCCUAACUUCAACUUUACACAUUUGACAUCAGCUCAACGAAAAAGAACCCUGAUAGCCUUCUAUUUAGCUAUACCACCCCUCUUCAUCGUGAGUAAAUAUAUAGAGAGGCGAUUCGUAUUUGACAAAAUGGACAGUCAUUUGAAUAAGAGCAAACUCUUUGGUGGACGUACAUUGCACCCAGAUCCAUGGUCUGGGAAAGAAUGGUGAAGUGUGAUGUGAAGUUACAGCUGUUUGGAUGUAAAAUAAAGUGUUAUUAUUAAUAAAUUCAGUUUUAAUCUGGA